CAUGUCAGUCAUAUGAACUUGCCUAACCUGAGUCCACCUCUGAAAGCCACAUCUCUCGGGGGAACUGAUUAUGGGUAUCUGAACCUGCAGGCUGAGAACACCAUACAUGAAAUUCACCAAAGCAGGUCCCAUGGGAGACAUCAAGCUGGCCUUCUCCUGAAGGAAAAUGUUUCUCAGAACCAUGACCCUCUGGCCCAUCACCCCCCAACCCUCCACCACAUAAAGCUGACUUUCCUGUACAUCUGCCAGAACUACAUCACCCUAAUUGCAAAGAAAGAUGGAAAAGUGAACGUAUGUCAUUUAAACCUCCAUCAUGGGAAGCCUACUUGGCCUCAAAGAAAAGAGAAGAAAUGACUGUGGAAGCUUUCCCUACUUUCAGAUUUACAGAGGGGGCCAUGUGAGAAGACUGUAGCUGAAGUAAUCUUGAACAGUGGUGAAGAGCAAGGAAUCUGUAGCAAAAAGG